rnacentral:rRNA from 1 species
CGUAGGGUGCGAGCGUUAAUCGGAAUUACUGGGCGUAAAGCGUGCGCAGGCGGUUUUGUAAGACAGGCGUGAAAUCCCCGGGCUCAACCUGGGAACUGCGCUUGUGACUGCAAGGCUAGAGUACGGCAGAGGGGGGUGGAAUUCCACGUGUAGCAGUGAAAUGCGUAGAGAUGUGGAGGAACACCAAUGGCGAAGGCAGCCCCCUGGGUCGAUACUGACGCUCAUGCACGAAAGCGUGGGUAGCAAACAGGAUUAGAUACCCUGGUAGUCCACGCCCUAAACGAUGUCAACUAGGUGUUGGGUGGGUAAAACCAUUUAGUACCGGAGCUAACGCGUGAAGUAGACCGCCUGGGGAGUACGGUCGCAAGAUUA